GAUGAAGAACGUAGCGAAAUGCGAUAAGUAAUGUGAAUUGCAGAAUUCAGUGAAUCAUCGAAUCUUUGAACGCACAUUGCGCCCCUUGGUAUUCCGAGGGGCAUGCCUGUUCGAGCGUCAUUAUAACCCCUCAAGCUCAGCUUGGUGUUGGGGCCUGCUGCACUGGCAGCCCUUAAAAUCAGUGGCGGAGCCAUCUGGCUCUAAGCGUAGUAAUUCUUCUCGCUAUGGAGUCCUGGUGGAUGCUUGCCAUCAACCCCCAAUUUUUCUAUGGUUGACCUCGGAUCAGGUAGGGAUACCCGCUGAACUUAAGCAUAUCAAUAAGCGGAGGA
rnacentral:misc_RNA from 1 species